UACGUAGGGGGCAAGCGUUGUCCGGAAUUAUUGGGCGUAAAGAGCGCGUAGGCGGUCCGGUAAGUCGGUUGUGAAAGUCGGGGGCUCAACCCUCGGAUGCCGAUCGAUACUGUCGGGCUAGAGUCCGGAAGAGGCGAGUGGAAUUCCUGGUGUAGCGGUGAAAUGCGCAGAUAUCGGGAGGAACACCAAUGGCGAAGGCAGCUCGCUGGGACGGUACUGACGCUGAGACGCGAAAGCGUGGGGAGCAAACAGG
rnacentral:rRNA from 1 species